rnacentral:lncRNA from 1 species
CUUUACUACAAUGUAAUGAACUCCUGAUAGCACCAGUGAAGUUGCCUUUUGGCCUGCCUCUUCCUUACAGCACAAAGAAGAGGAUGGACAUGGUAGGACAUCAGGGAAAUGCAUGAGCAGGGGAAAGAAGAAGAGGAAUAAACAGAAAGUAAAACUGGGUAAAAAAAAGGAAUUGGUGGAAGGAGAAGUGAUGUGGAGACACAGAGUAAACAGUGCAACACAAAAGAUGGUAACAAGAAGAAACGCCCUGUGGCAAAAGAAAGCAGAGAGAAAGCAAAGAAAACUGCAGCAAGCAGACAAAGCUGUACUGACUUUGGAGCUCGCAGGAUCAAGGGAUACUUCCAACAAGCAGUUUGGACACGGCCACCCUGCUCACCCACAGAAGCACAUCUCAGACACUCACCAGAAGGCCAGAAACAGCCCUCGGCUCUUUCUACUUGUUGACAUAGAUGGAGCUAAGGAAGGUCAGUGGUAAAUGAAGAGCAGUAGGAAUGGAUUGGUCAUCAUUGUUGUGGAUUGACUCCAUUCUCCCCUCUAACAUGACUCCGUUGGCCUCCAUGGGAUUUGGUUCCUCACUCAUUUCCUGUCCUGCUAUCCUCACACACCAUUGCAACCAUGGCUGUGCCUAAUGGACUCAGAUUUGGGGAACUUCCAGCCCUGCAGAUCUGUUGCUCCCCAUGUUUGCUGCCAUUGGAUCUCUCCU